AUUGAACGCUGGCGGCAUGCCUUACACAUGCAAGUCGAACGAUGAAGCCGGAGCUUGCUCUGGUGAAUUAGUGGCGAACGGGUGAGUAACACGUGAGUGACCUGCCCUUGACUCUGGGAUAACUGCGGGAAACUGUAGCUAAUACCGGAUACGACCCUCGGAGGCAUCUCCUGGGGGUGGAAAGAAUUUCGGUCAAGGAUGGACUCGCGGCCUAUCAGCUAGUUGGUGAGGGAAAGGCUCACCAAGGCGACGACGGGAAGCCGGCCUGAGAGGGUGAACGGCCACACUGGGACUGAGACACGGCCCAGACUCCUACGGGAGGCAGCAGUGGGGAAUAUUGCACAAUGGGCGCAAGCCUGAUGCAGCAACGCCGCGUGAGGGAUGACGGCCUUCGGGUUGUAAACCUCUUUUAGCAGGGAAGAAGCGAAAGUGACGGUACCUGCAGAAAAAGCACCGGCUAACUACGUGCCAGCCGCCGCGGUAA
rnacentral:rRNA from 1 species